AUUUUUUUUUUUUUAUGACAAAAGACCGUAAUUUCGGUGAUGUGAAACAAUGCAAAACUGAUGGAAAAUCGUAAUUUUCGCAACGGUGUUUACCAAAGAAUAGAUAAAUAGUAAUAGCUUGUAAGUGCAUUUAUUUUAUUUUUAUUCGGACAAAGUAUAAUUUUGGAAAAAGAGAAUGUAUUGUAAGAGUACGGACAGUACGCGGGUACGUUAUCUAAAUUAAUUUAAUGCCGACUUUAUUUCAAAAGGUUUAAACUCGCAUGACGAGAACAGCAUCG